UACGUAGGGUGCGAGCGUUAAUCGGAAUUACUGGGCGUAAAGCGUGCGCAGGCGGUAAUGCAAGACAGAUGUGAAAUCCCCGGGCUUAACCUGGGAACUGCAUUUGUGACUGCAUUGCUGGAGUGCGGCAGAGGGGGAUGGAAUUCCGCGUGUAGCAGUGAAAUGCGUAGAUAAUGCGGAGGAACACCGAUGGCGAAGGCAAU
rnacentral:rRNA from 1 species